GAUGAACGCUGGCGGCGUGCCUAAUACAUGCAAGUCGAACGCUGGAGAUCUAGCUUGCUAGAUCGAAGGAGUGGCGAACGGGUGAGUAAUACAUAAGCAACCUACCCACGAAGACUGGGAUAAUCUCUGGAAACGGGGACUAAUACCGGAUAGGUAAUCGGAAGGCAUCUUCUGGUUAUUAAAGGUUAAAAACACUGGUGGAUGGGCUUAUGGCGCAUUAGUUAGUUGGUGAGGUAACGGCCCACCAAGACGAUGAUGCGUAGCCGGCCUGAGAGGGUGAACGGCCACAUUGGGACUGAGACACGGCCCAGACUCCUACGGGAGGCAGCAGUAGGGAAGGUUCGGCAAUGGGGGCAACCCUGACCGAGCAACGCCGCGUGAGUGAAGACGGCCUUCGGGUUGUAAAGCUCUGUUGUAAGGGAAGAACGGUAGAUAGAGAAUAUCUAAGUGACGGUACCUUACCAGAAAGCCACGGCUAACUACGUG
rnacentral:rRNA from 1 species